ensembl:lncRNA
GUUACAAAAGAUACUUACACAUAUUUUCCCUGUACAGUGAAUGAAAUCAGUCCAGCUGCCCUUGAGGUGUGGGAACAGGGUGUCAUGUACUGGAAGCAUGGGUAGAGAGAUCAUCUGUGUAUAUGGGUAGAGAGGUCAUCUGUGUAUAUGGGUAGAGAGGUCAGAGGUCAUCUGUGUAUAUGGGUAGAGAGGUCAUCUGUGUAUAUGGGUAGAGAGGUCAUCUGUGUAUAUGGGUAGAGAGGUCAUCUGUGUAUAUGGGUAGAGAGGUCAGAGGUCAUCUGUGUAUAUGGGUAGAGAGGUCAUCUGUGUAUAUGGGUAGAGAGGUCAUCUGUGUAUAUGGGUAGAGAGGUCAUCUGUGUAUAUGGGUAGAGAGGUCAUCUGUGUAUAUGGGUAGAGAGGUCAGAGGUCAUCUGUGUAUAUGGGUAGAGAGGUCAUCUGUGUAUAUGGGUAGAGAGGUCAUCUGUGUAUAUGGGUAGAGAGGUCAGAGGUCAGCUGUGUAUAUGGGUAGAGAGGUCAUCUGUGUAUAUGGGUAGAGAGGUCAGAGGUCAGCUGUGUAUAUGGGUAGAGAGGUCAGAGGUCAGCUGUGUAUAUGGGUAGAGAGGUCAUCUGUGUAUAUGGGUAGAGAGGUCAUCUGUGUAUAUGGGUAGAGAGGUCAGCUGUGUAUAUGGGUAGAGAGGUCAUCUGUGUAUAUGGGUAGAGAGGUCAGAGGUCAUCUGUGUAUAUGGGUAGAGAGGUCAGCUGUGUAUAUGGGUAGAGAGGUCAUCUGUGUAUAUGGGUAGAGAGGUCAGAGGUCAUCUGUGUAUAUGGGUAGAGAGGUCAGCUGUGUAUAUGGGUAGAGAGGUCAGCUGUGUAUAUGGGUAGAGAGGUCAGAGGUCAUCUGUGUAUAUGGGUAGAAGCAGUGUUGCUGAGGUGAUGGGC